rnacentral:tRNA from 1 species
GCCCUGGUGGCGGAAUUGGCAUACGCGGCAGGUUGAGGGCCUGUGUCCUUUGGACGUGGAGGUUCGAGUCCUCUCCAGGGCA